CAGCAGCCGCGGGAAUACAGAGGGUGCGAGCGUUAAUCGGAUUUACUGGGCGUAAAGCGUGCGUAGGCGGCUUUUUAAGUCGGAUGUGAAAUCCCUGAGCUUAACUUAGGAAUUGCAUUCGAUACUGGGAAGCUAGAGUAUGGGAGAGGAUGGUAGAAUUCCAGGUGUAGCGGUGAAAUGCGUAGAGGUCUGGAGGAAUACCGAUGGCGAAGGCAGCCAUCUGGCCUAAUACUGACGCUGAGGUACGAAAGCAUGGGGAGCAAACAGGAUUAGAUACCCCUGUAGUCCCUGUCUCUUAUAC
rnacentral:rRNA from 1 species